rnacentral:rRNA from 1 species
GACGAACGCUGGCGGCGUGCUUAACACAUGCAAGUCGAACGGAAAGGCCCUGCUUUUGUGGGGUGCUCGAGUGGCGAACGGGUGAGUAACACGUGAGUAACCUGCCCUUGACUUUGGGAUAACUUCAGGAAACUGGGGCUAAUACCGGAUAGGAGCUCCUGCUGCAUGGUGGGGGUUGGAAAGUUUCGGCGGUUGGGGAUGGACUCGCGGCUUAUCCGCUUGUUGGUGGGGUAGUGGCUUACCAAGGCUUUGACGGGUAGCCGGCCUGAGAGGGUGACCGGCCACAUGGGGACUGAGAUACGGCCCAGACUCCUACGGGAGGCAGCAGUGGGGAAUAUUGCACAAUGGGCGGAAGCCUGAUGCAGCAACGCCGCGUGCGGGAUGACGGCCUUCGGGUUGUAAACCGCUUUCGCCUGUGACGAAGCGUGAGUGGCGGUAAUGGGUAAAGAAGCACCGGCUAACUACGUG